GACGAACGCUGGCGGCGUGCUUAACACAUGCAAGUCGAACGGAAAGGCCCUGCUUUUGUGGGGUGCUCGAGUGGCGAACGGGUGAGUAACACGUGAGUAACCUGCCCUUGACUUUGGGAUAACUUCAGGAAACUGGGGCUAAUACCGGAUAGGAGCUCCUGCUGCAUGGUGGGGGUUGGAAAGUUUCGGCGGUUGGGGAUGGACUCGCGGCUUAUCAGCUUGUUGGUGGGGUAGUGGCUUACCAAGGCUUUGACGGGUAGCCGGCCUGAGAGGGUGACCGGCCACAUUGGGACUGAGAUACGGCCCAGACUCCUACGGGAGGCAGCAGUGGGGAAUAUUGCACAAUGGGCGGAAGCCUGAUGCAGCAACGCCGCGUGCGGGAUGACGGCCUUCGGGUUGUAAACCGCUUUCGCCUGUGACGAAGCGUGAGUGACGGUAAUGGGUAAAGAAGCACCGGCUAACUACGUGCCAGCAGCCGCGGUGAUACGUAGGGUGCGAGCGUUGUCCGGAUUUAUUGGGCGUAAAGGGCUCGUAGGUGGUUGAUCGCGUCGGAAGUGUAAUCUUGGGGCUUAACCCUGAGCGUGCUUUCGAUACGGGUUGACUUGAGGAAGGUAGGGGAGAAUGGAAUUCCUGGUGGAGCGGUGGAAUGCGCAGAUAUCAGGAGGAACACCAGUGGCGAAGGCGGUUCUCUGGGCCUUUCCUGACGCUGAGGAGCGAAAGCGUGGGGAGCGAACAGGCUUAGAUACCCUGGUAGUCCACGCUGUAAACGGUGGGUACUAGGUGUGGGGUCCAUUCCACGGGUUCCGUGCCGUAGCUAACGCUUUAAGUACCCCGCCUGGGGAGUACGGCCGCAAGGCUAAAACUCAAAGGAAUUGACGGGGCCCCGCACAAGCGGCGGAGCAUGCGGAUUAAUUCGAUGCAACGCGUAGAACCUUACCUGGGUUUGACAUGGAUCGGGAGCGCUCAGAGAUGGGUGUGCCUCUUUUGGGGUCGGUUCACAGGUGGUGCAUGGCUGUCGUCAGCUCGUGUCGUGAGAUGUUGGGUUAAGUCCCGCAACGAGCGCAACCCUUGUUCACUGUUGCCAGCACGUUAUGGUGGGGACUCAGUGGAGACCGCCGGGGUCAACUCGGAGGAAGGUGGGGAUGACGUCAAGUCAUCAUGCCCCUUAUGUCCAGGGCUUCACGCAUGCUACAAUGGCCGGUACAGAGAGUGGCGAGCCUGUGAGGGUGAGCGAAUCUCGGAAAGCCGGUCUCAGUUCGGAUUGGGGUCUGCAACUCGACCUCAUGAAGUCGGAGUCGCUAGUAAUCGCAGAUCAGCAACGCUGCGGUGAAUACGUUCCCGGG
rnacentral:rRNA from 1 species